ACUCGGCUAGCUCAGUUGGUAGAGCAUGAGACUCUUGAUCUCAGGAUCAUGGGUUUGAGCCCCACACUGGGUG